rnacentral:rRNA from 1 species
UGGGGGAUAUUGCACAAUGGGCGAAAGCCUGAUGCAGCGACGCCGCGUGGGGGAUGAAGGCCUUCGGGUUGUAAACUUCUUUUGCUCUGAACAAGGCGCACCAUGGGGUGUGUUGAGUAUAGGGGUUGAUUAGCGCCGGCUAACUACGUGCCAGCAGCCGCGGUAAUACGUAGGGCGCGAGCGUUGUCCGGAAUUAUUGGGCGUAAAGGGCUUGUAGGUGGCUGGUUGCGUCUGUCGUGAAAGCUCGUGGCUUAACUGUGGGUUUGCGGUGGGUACGGGCUGGCUUGAGUGCAGUAGGGGAGGCUGGAAUUCCUGGUGUAGCGGUGGAAUGCGCAGAUAUCAGGAGGAAUACCGGUGGCGAAGGCGGGUCUCUGGGCUGUUACUGACACUGAGGAGCGAAAGCAUGGGGAGCGAACAGG